CGUGGCGCAGUCGGUAGCGCGUAGGUCUCAUAAUACAACUAUCAAAUCGAAAAAUGAUCGAAGGGUCAUCCUAAGGUCGCGGGUUCGAUCCCCGCCGA
rnacentral:tRNA from 1 species